rnacentral:sRNA from 2 species
CCGCCGGUCUUUGGGGAGUAGCCCGCCCGGUGCGCAACGCGCCGGGGGCAUGCAUCAACAAACUUGGGUUCGGUGAACCUAUGGUGCAUGCGGUUUUUGAGCUGGGCGAGACCAUUGACUGCAUGCCGAUCCAAUGGCCGGAGUCGGGGUGCAGUCAAUGCGUUGUCUAUAACU